ensembl:lncRNA LINC01224 long intergenic non-protein coding RNA 1224
CUGCACUCCAGCCCAGGCGACAUUGUGAGACUCCAUCUCAAAAAAAAAAAAAAGAAAAAAAGUGUACUAACAAGACCCAGCACACAGAGGAGACUUUUACCAUUGUAUGAACACCCAUCAAACAGUACACAUCAUCAUUGUGAGUUCUGAAUCUCACACAUAGAGGAAGUCAAAGGUGGAAAACUUGACUCUCAUAUUUGGAUCCAGUCCACAGGUGAGUUGGUGACAUUCAGAGCAAGAAUCAGCACGCCUAUGAGGCUGUGACUUCACUAAUUAGACUAAGUCCACAGCAGGAGUAUGGGCUGUUAGGUACAAAUUUUGUCUACUGUUGAGAUUGUAACUCCUGUUCUUAGACACAACAUAUAGGAAGGGUUAACCUCCUAUACCUAAAACCGGAACAUGUGUGGGAUUGUUAAUUUGAUCCCUGCACCUUCUCACAGGUUUACUUGGAACAUAUUUCUCUGCCCAGCACCUGAGUGAUCUGACUGUCUUGCCUACAGAUGGAAUAGUGACAUAUAGCUGAACCCAGAACUGACUCUCUUUUUCUGCAUUGGUGCUGCUCACAGGGGGCAUUGUGACAUAUCGCUGGGCCUUGCACUUAGGUGAUGUGAGUCUCCUUUGCCUUGGCACUGCCCACAGAAUGCAUUGUCACAUAUCUCUGGGCCCCACACCAGGUUUUUUGACUUUCCUACCUGUCACCUGACCACAUAAGCAAUUGUGACAUAUUGCUGGGACAUACACCCUGGUAAUGCAACUCUACUACCCACAAGGAGCAUUGUGACAUAUAUUUUCACACCUCACCCACAUGAUGUGACUUUCUUCUCCUGCCUGGUCCCUGCUCACAGGGGGAGUUGCGACAUAUCAUGUGGCUCAGUACCAAACAAGUGUGAUUCUUCUUCCAUCAUAGGUUCUGCUAGCAAGGAAGACUGAGACAUAUUGUGGGGCUCUACGCCAAUGUGACAUUACUGUUCUGCCUUGGCCUGUACCUGAAAAGGCAUUGUGACAUAUUGCUGGGCCCAGCAACAAGGUGGCAUGAGUCUUCCGUAUGGACCCUGACAACAGAGCAUUGUGACAUAUCUUUAAGAGCAUCAACUAUUUGAUGUGACUCUCCUUUUCUACCAAGGCUUUCCUCAUAUGAGAGAUUGUGACACAUCUUCUGGCACAGAAAUCAAGUGAUGUGUUUCUCCUGCCUGAGCUUUGCUCAUAGAAAGCAUUGUGACAUAUCUCUGGUCUCAGCACCCAGGUGUGAUUUUGACGCACACUUCUGCCCAGCACCUGAGUAAUGUGAUUCUUCAGAAUUGGCCCGGCCCACAAAUAGGAUUGUGCCACACUGCUGGACCCAGUGCCUAAGUGAUGUAACUCUAUUCUUCUGCCUUGGUGCUACUCGAAAAAGACAUUGUAACAUAUCUCAGAGCCUUACACCCAGGUAAUGUGAGUCUCCUCUUCUGCCUUGCUGCUGCACACAGAAGCGGAAUAUGUACAGGAUUGUUAAUCUCAUCUUGGAUCUUCCUGCACUUGUGAUUGUGACACAUGCCUCUGUGUAGAACCUGAGUGAGUUUACUCUCCUGCCUGGAUUUAACCCAUAGAUGGAAUCGUGACAUAUCACUGUACCAGAAACUAGGUGAUGUGACUCUAUUUUCUUGCCUCUGUGUUUUUAUAUGGGGCAUCGUGACAUAUCACUGGGCCUUGCACCCAAGUGAUGGGAGUUUUCUCUCCUGCUUUGGUGCCGUCCACAAUGAAAAUUGUGAAAUAUUGCUGCCCUCCCCACUAGGUUAUGUUACUCUCCUGCCUCUGCUUUGCCCACAUGGGUCACUGUGACAUAUUGCUGGGUCUAAAACCCAGGUAAUGUCACUCUCUUGUUUGGGUUCUGCCUGCAGGAGUCAUUGUCACAUAUCUCUAUGCUCAUCACCCAGGUAAUAUGAUUCCCUUUUACUGCUUAGUUCCUUCUCACAAAACAACUUGUGACAUAUUGCUAGGCCCAAUACACCUAGCUGGUGUAAC